rnacentral:rRNA from 1 species
UACGUAGGGGGCAAGCGUUGUCCGGAUUCACUGGGUUUAAAGGGUGCGUAGGUGGGUUGAUAAGUCAGUGGUGAAUCCCCGAGCUUAACUUGGGAACUGCCAUUGAUACUAUUGAUCUUGAAUACCGUGGAGGUCAGCGGAAUAUGUCAUGUAGCGGUGAAAUGCUUAGAUAUGACAUAGAACACCAAUUGCGAAGGCAGCUGGCUACGCGAAUAUUGACACUGAUGCACGAAAGCGUGGGGAUCAAACAGG